AAGACCUUACUUCAUAGAAUCAUUUCUAUAGUAAGCUCUUCACGAAACUUGAUGAAAAUGAUGACGAAAUCUUGGCGCGGUACUCUGAGAGUUAGGCGGGCAAUGACGAAGUCACUACUCAGAAGUCUUGGAUGAUCGUUCACUUUUCUGCUUGCGGAAAAAUGUGAAGUGUAAGGAAACUGG